rnacentral:rRNA from 1 species
CCUACGGGAUGCACCAGUGGGGAAUAUUGGACAAUGGGCGAAAGCCUGAUCCAGCAAUGCCGCGUGUGUGAAGAAGGUCUUCGGAUUGUAAAGCACUUUCGACGGGGACGAUGAUGACGGUACCCGUAGAAGAAGCCCCGGCUAACUUCGUGCCAGCAGCCGCGGUAAUACGAAGGGGGCUAGCGUUGCUCGGAAUGACUGGGCGUAAAGGGCGCGUAGGCGGUUUAUGCAGUCAGAUGUGAAAUCCCCGGGCUUAACCUGGGAACUGCAUUUGAGACGCAUAGACUAGAGGUCGAGAGAGGGUUGUGGAAUUCCCAGUGCAGAGGUGAAAUUCGUAGAUAUUGGGAAGAACACCGGUGGCGAAAGCACUCUGCUGGGCCGACACUGACACUGAGAGACGAAAGCUAGGGGAGCGAAUGGGAUUAGAUACCCUCGUAGUC